UUCUUAUUAAAUGAUGACUAUCACAUGUCAUGUUCUGAUUGACUAAUAACAACAACAAUGCAUUUCAUCUUUCAUGGAGUUGACAUCCAAUCAGAACAUGACAUUGAU
rfam:Glycine soja cultivar W05 scaffold4997_8, whole genome shotgun sequence.